GUCUGAUAGUGUGGCUCGUCCUCUUUUCUCUCCAUGCUACCCACUGGGUGCUGCUCUCCGGGUUUGCUUCUCUUGAACGAUGGGGACCCCUGCCCAGGACCCUCUCCCAUGUCCUGGUUUCCCGUUUCUAGGACAGGUCAUGCCACGGCCAUGUUUUCCACUGCUAGUACCUGCUUCCCUGAUCAUCAGCACCUUCGCCACAGCCCUCCUCAGUUCUCUGUCCCUGGCAGCCUCCCUGAAGCCACGGCCUCCGGGCAUUUACACAACAAUUUUAUGAACAAACAGGUUAGCAGAGCACAUCGGUUGCAUUCCUGAACGAGAGCUGAAGUUAGCAUCUUCCUCUGAGACCCCAAGUGGUGUCUCUCUAAUGACAAGGGAAUAUUCUUGCACAUGUGCAGAUGUCGGGCAGUGGGCGGCAAGAGAAGGGACAGAGCUGCUUACAUCUGUUUCUUUUGUAACCAAGAGCAAAACUGUGGUGCUCAGGCAGCCCAGCAGGGCCAAUCGGCACAAUGCCCAAACACACCGACAACUUUUGCCUUGGCCUCCUCUUGGCUCUCCCUGCAGCAAACCUGUGAACACAGGGCCAGAGCCAGGCUCUGGAUGGAAGGACUCAAAGGUGUCCUGCCUUUCUGUUGCUUCCAUCUGCACCAUCACUGGAAAAAUCCUCCUACGUCCAUGCCUGUCCUUCGACGUAUACAAGCAGGUUUUGAUUUCACGCGUGGAGUUUUCUAGUGGAACAUUACGUUGAGUUACAUGUCAUCAGUCAUACACCACCAAGCCACCCUCCGGUAACUCACUGGGACAUGGAGCAAGUGUCCUUGGCUGCAACAGUUACAGAGCAUGGGGGGUGGACCCCAGGACGGCCACUGCCACCUUCUGUGGACACCUCUGCUGACCUUCCCUACCCUUGUUCAUCCAUGCUCCCCUGCCUUCCUUCCAACACCUGUUUUUUUCUCCCUUGAGAAGGAGGAAGGCAGGUGGGGGUCUUGCGCGCAGAUCUUGGCCCCAGCCUUGCUUCGCCUCUUUACAGUGGAUCUUCAAG
rnacentral:lncRNA from 1 species